GAGCUACUGACACCUACUGGUGGAGAUCGAGUCGUGUCUGGCGACAAAAUUCAGGUGACGAUUAACAUCUCGCCUGUAAACUUUACAAAACAAGCAACUGCAACAAUGCCGAAGAGAGGGAGAAAGAAGAAGAGGUCAACCCCUGUAACCAUCGAGAACGCCAGGAACAAUGAGACGACACAUGACUCGAUACGCCGUUACGCAGGAAAAAUUGUGGACUACAUUGCCCAGUCAACCACUGCUUUCUCUCAGGAAGAUGUUUCCGGUAUAGGCCUACAUAACAUCUUGGGGAAGACUGUAGAGGGCCUUCUCCAAAAAGUGUGCGGAGGGGUCUCAAGCAUCCUGAACAAGUAUUUGUAUGGGGCGGGGGUGUUGUCUGAUGCGGUGAUCCCAGUAAAUCUCUUGCCUGUGGCUUCAAAUGGAGACAAUCGGAAAAUGGAAAAAAGAUGGCAGGACUGCACUGAGGAAGACUGUGAACUGAUAAUUAUCCGACUGACAGGGACUGUAAUUAUCACCAUGUUGGAUAGUGUUAUGGAGAGUUGCAGGACGGACCCCACACACAGUUCAUUCUUAGAAGAACUGGGGCUCACCAUGGAAAUGGUAACGAUCAUACGUGAAGUAGCAGAAUGUGCAGCAAACGCCACAAGUAAUGAUUUCAGUCAGUUCACAGUUGGAGGAGUUCCUCUCUUUCAGAGACCACUGAGCAAUCUUUCCUCUGGGCCGAGUCAACCAGCACCCCCCCAAAAUGCCUUGCCAACAUCCACUGUUCCCACACCUGUCUCAAAGGUGAGCUCAGCCAGUCCCAGAUCCACUGACUCAGGGUCCUCACAAGUCAGGAAGCCAAGACAAUCAACAGAAGGAGUUAAGAGACUCUCCGAAAGGCAGCAGAAUCCAGGGGAGGAGAUCACAUCUCUAGUGAUUGAAACCAUUCUACGGUCAGUUGCGGAUUUAGCCAGGCAUGGACUUCUGCCAAGCUGCACCCAGUAGACUGGAUGCCACCUUUUUAUGGAGGUGAUGCAGAAAACAAACAUGUGAAGCCAAUUCAUAAAAGCAUUAAUUAAACAAAUAUGUUGUUAAAAGGUGAGUCAGCAGUUUCUUUC
ensembl:lncRNA